rfam:Lepisosteus oculatus linkage group LG26, whole genome shotgun sequence.
CCAAAGGCUCUUCUAAGAGCCACCAGCCCUUCCGAGAGAGAGCGCA